rnacentral:lncRNA from 1 species
GCCAAGUCAUGUAACGGAAAAAUAAACACACAAAGAAAUACGCCUCGGGGCCGGGAGGACAUGUUAGGGCCCCUUCCCGAGGCUUCUGUCCUCGCCUCUCUUCUCUUCUCUGGGAGGAAGUGCUAAGAAAGAAGGAAAAAACUGCAAGAUCCUUUCGGUCUCGCUCGGCAUUUGUCGGGUCUUUUUCUGACUCCCCCGUCCUGCGUACAAGAGCAAGAGCAAGGGUUGCACGCUUUGUCAGAGAGAGGGAGAAGCUGCACACGUUCCGGGUGUCUGCCGAGACCUGGGAUCCCAGCACACGUGGGACUGUCACGGCGGACACGUUCUCGGCACAUUCCCAGCUCCGACUCGGCGCCUCCUCUGAGUUCAGGCACUGGGACCCUAACUCCAGGAUCUCAGGAUGCGGCAGGUUUUGAAAAUGGCGUCUUCAUAGACAUGAUGGAAUGAGGUCCCCAGGGUGGCCCCGAGCCCAGGGCUGGGUCCUCCUGAAAAGAGGGCGGGAGGACGCGGACACACACAGGGACGCGCUUGUGAGGACACAGGAAGCCUGGGGGGAGCCAGCGUUGCCCACGCUGGGCCUGGGGCCUGCAGCUCCGGGAUGUCCGAAGUUGAAGGGACCAGGCGAGGGGACUUUAAUUUGCAGAGGGAGGGCACAAUUCUGCUCCUAACAGGAAUUAGGCAUGUGGCAAAAUGCGCCUUCUACAACAGUGCUGCGUACACUGGAAAGCAAUGCAUUCUCUCCCUGGUGCAAACUAGAAAAGAAAAAUCAGAAAAGCUAAGUGAGCAAAGGAAACUGCAUCUAAACAGAGUGUUUUACCUGAGAGGGAAAAAGCACUUGUAUGCUCAUCACAAACGGGAGUUCAUACAUCUGGCCUCUCCAUGAGAUUCUUGAUGCCACAUUUUUCUCCCUGGAAGCUGGUGUGGUGGCCCACACCUGUCAGCCCACUACUCUCUCGGGAGGCUGAGGCAGGAGGAUUGCUGCAAGUUUGAGGUCAGCCUGGGCUGUGUAGCAAGACUGUCUCAACAAAACAAAAAUCAAAACAAAAUAAAGCUGUAUGCUUCUGUCCGUGGGAGAGAGACAUCCAUUUCCCUAUCGGCUGUGACAGGCUGGUGUAAACUUUGGAAGCCAGCAACUAUUCGCUUCUUUUUUAUUUUUAGGAGUGCAUAUUUACAACACGUAACGAUUGCAUUCCUCAUGGGGAGGUGGGGUGUGCAUAAUGCAGCUUAAUGCUUUUACUUCUCUUUCUCCUCCUCUCCAUCUUUUUGUCCCCUUCUCAUUUGAGAAAUACCUGUUUCUCUACUUCUUAUUACCUCUCUUUUAUUUUGCUAUUUAUCUAUACUUUCUGUUGCUGAUGUAAGAGAAACCAUGUGAUACUGAAGCUCGUGCAUCUGAUUUAUUUCACUUAACAUUGUGGUUUCAAAGUGCGUCUGUUUUCCUACAAAUGACUCAAAUUUUUCCUUCUUUAUGACUGAGUAGUACUCCAUUGUGUGUAAAUACACUAGACCCUUGACUUAUGAACUCAAUCCAUGCCUGAGAGUGGGUUGUAACUCAAGUUGGUCAGUGGAGGCUCAGCUCCUCCACACAGCCUUCAGAGUCUCUCUCCUGUCCACAGGCAGAGCUCAGUGUCCUUGGAGACACCCUGGCUCAGGAUUUCUCAGUGAACCCCACGCAGGACAGGGUGCUGUCCUGUUCCUUUCACAGCUCUUUAGGGUUCAGUCUGUACCGGAGACAAUCUGGGAGCACAAGC